AUUUAAUGAUAAUAAAAAAAAACUUAUAAAUAUUUAACCACCACAAGACAUGUGUUAUCGCUUACAACUAAGAGCUUCUAGUAUCUCGUUCAACACUAAUAAAGAUGAAAUUCGCAUCAGCUUUCAUCGUGGCAUUUGCUACCUUUCUGGCAUUCGUCGAUCUCACGAUCGCCAAACCUGAACCUAAGCCUUUUGGAACUUAUACCUCCUAGAUGUGAUGUUUUUUUUAUGGUUAACUUGUUUCGCAAUAAAGAGAAAUUAAACUUUAUGAGAGUUGAAA